CGAUGAUGAUGAUGAUGAUGAUGAUGAUGAUGACUGCAAGAAAUCUUCUCAGGGUUCUUGAAACAUGACCAGUAAAACAAGCGUCACCUUUGUCUGCUGGCUGUGGAUAGCUGACACUUUCCAUCAUACCCAGCAAAAUAAGCUGUGAGUUUU